CGUAAGGUUUUGAGAGAAACACCGCAGAGAAGGUGAGAUGCUGCGGCAGGAGCCCCCAGUGCCCUGCCCAGGAGCCUCCUCAUCCCCUGCGGAAGUCUUCCCGGCUGGACCCUGUGGGGAUGGUUCCUGCCCCAUGCGGCAGAGAUUCAAGGGAAAGGAGGGCAAAGAGCAUAAAUGUACCGCCAAGGGCUACCUGGCUGGUUUGUGCAGUGAGGCUUAUCUGCUCAACCCCAUCCAGCAGAAUUCAAUUUCCACAUCUUCAAAAUGGGUGCCAAUCCAACGUGGGGGUCCUGCAAAUGAAGAGCGAGGAAAGGAAAGGGAGAGAGCGAUGUGUAGAUUUGAGAUCUACAAGACACAUGCGUCAAUGGCUAACGGGUAAGAGGAUUCUUUCUCGGGGUCAUAAAAAUGUUCUGAAAUUGUAAUACAAUGAGGGUUUCACAACCCCUUAGUAAACGUUGAUUUGUACACUUUA